CCGAUGGGGGGGGAGUAACUACUGGAAACGGUAGCUAAUACCGCAUAAUGUCUACGGACCAAAGCGGGGGACCUCCGGGCCUCGCGCCAUCAGAUGAACCCAUAUGGGAUUAGCUAGUAGGUAAGGUAACGGCUUACCUAGGCGACGAUCCCUAGCUGGUCUGAGAGGAUGAUCAGCCACACUGGGACUGAGACACGGCCCAG
rnacentral:rRNA from 1 species